rnacentral:rRNA from 1 species
UACGGAGGGUGCGAGCGUUGUCCGGAAUUAUUGGGCGUAAAGAGCUUGUAGGCGGUUUGGCGCGUCUGCUGUGAAAAUCCGGGGCUCAACCCCGGACUUGCAGUGGGUACGGGCAGACUAGAGUGUGGUAGGGGAGACUGGAAUUCCUGGUGUAGCGGUGGAAUGCGCAGAUAUCAGGAGGAACACCGAUGGCGAAGGCAGGUCUCUGGGCCAUUACUGACACUGAGAAGCGAAAGCAUGGGGAGCGAACAGG